GAUGAAGAACGUAGCGAAAUGCGAUAAGUAGUGUGAAUUGCAGAAUCCAGUGAAUCAUCGAAUCUUUGAACGCACAUUGCGCCCCUUGGUAUUCCAUGGGGCAUGCCUGUUCGAGCGUCAUUUGUACCUUCAAGCUCUGCUUGGUGUUGGGUGUUUGUCUCGCCUCUGCGUGUAGACUCGCCUCAAAACAAUUGGCAGCCGGCGUAUUGAUUUCGGAGCGCAGUACAUCUCGCGCUUUGCACUCAUAACGACGACGUCCAAAAGUACAUUUUUACACUCUUGACCUCGGAUCAGGUAGGGAUACCCGCUGAACUUAAGCAUAUCAAUAAGCGGAGGA
rnacentral:misc_RNA from 1 species